GUCAUUUUAUACCCAAAAGACGUUCCUAUCUUGCACCCUUUACACAACCCACGUUUUCCCCCAUUAAACACCAUUACUUACUCCAUUAACUUCUAACACUAACAUACCCUUUUGUUAUAUAUAUAUCAGUAGUUUUGAAUUAAAAAAGGGGACACACAGAGACAGACUUUCCCAGUUAUAUUCCCUCGUCGGUUUUGCUCUCAGAAGUUCCAUUUCGACAUUAGCUUCUAAGCUUCCUCUUCGCGUCACUCAAUUGAGAUAUGAAGUGUUUCAGAUCCGGAUCUGCGUUGCGUGCUCGCUUUGAAGUUGAUCUCAUUGCAUUUUCAUUGUUGACGUGUUGUUUCUGUUGCUAGAUUUUCCACGCUAUUUCAAACCUUAUUUAAUUAUUCUUCUAUCGAUUUCUGGUUUUAGGUACUCCAGCCUCAUAUAUGAC
rnacentral:lncRNA from 1 species